rnacentral:rRNA from 1 species
CACGUAGGGUGCGAGCGUUGUCCGGAAUUAUUGGGCGUAAAGAGCUCGUAGGCGGUGUGUCGCGUCGGCCGUGAAAACCUGCAGCUUAACUGCAGAAGUGCCUUUGAUACUGUCGGUCUUGAGGGAGAUAGGGGUGUGCGGAACUUCCAGUGGAGCGGUGAAAUGCGUUGAUAUUGGAAGGAACGCCGGAGGCGAAAGCGGCGCACUGGAUCUCUUCUGACGCUGAGGCACGAAAGUGUGGGGAUCAAACAGG